CCGUAAGGCGCCGAAUGAGUCAUUAUAAAAUUAACAUCAUCCGAUCCCCUAGUCGGCAUAGUUUAUGGUUAAGACUACGACGGUAUCUGAUCGUCUUCGAUCCCCCUAACUUUCGUUCUUGAUUAAUGAAAACAUCCUUGGCAAAAUGCUUUUCGCAGUAGUUAGUCUUCAAUAAAUCCAAGAAUUUCACCUCUGACAAUUGAAUACUAAUGCCCCCAACUAUCCCUAUUAAUCAUUACGUCAAUCCUAGAAACCAACAAAAUAGGAUCGAACGUCCUAUUUCAUUAUUCCAUGCUAAUGUAUUCAAGCGUUAGCUUGCUUUAAACACUUCUUAAUUUUUUCAAAGUAACAGUCCAGUCUCCCGCAACACCAAAUUAAUGGAC
rnacentral:rRNA from 1 species